UUUUUAGCUGCAAUGUAUACGUAUUAAACAAUGGAGUGAGUUUCUUAGAAUUGCUUUCGUAAUUAGGUCUCCCUAACUUCGAUUCCUCAGAAAGUGUUUUUCCGGACAUUCUUGGCAAUGACGUAACCAGUAUUUUGGCAGAUCGAAAUUGGAAGUUGAAAUUCCCUUCAGAUUAGCGCCUUGGACAAGUAUAGGCUGAAAGUACCUACGGAAAGAGUAGAUUCAGAGCUACACGAAGCAAGAAUUGCACAUCGAUGGCACACGGACGUCACUCCCGGGAUAUGCAGGGUCACUGGACACCUCACGGCCAUCCCUCACCAUUCCAGCAGCAAUCGUGUCUGAGACAGGAGCAGACGCAACGUUCACUGCAAGCCAGUGAACAGAUGCUUUAUGACAUUUA